GGACAGCAUGUGGCUCUUGAUCUCAGGGUCAUGAGUCUGAGUCCCAAGUUGGGCGUAGAGAUUACUUAAAUAAAUAAAUAAACUUUAAAAAAUAAUAAGAAAAUAAAAAUGCAAGAACAGGAGUGUUGUUCUCCUUUCCCUCGCUCUCCCCAGCUACCCUGACCACAUCUUGAAUAGCAUCCAAAUCGGAUCCUGUGGGGUCCAGGGCAGCAGCUGGGGCCUCGGCCAUGGUGUGCCCUAAACUAUAGGUGAGUCGGGGGGGAGACGUGGGGCAGAGGGCCAGAGUCAUGGUUCUUGGAGGACUGCUGGCUAAAUUGCCUUAUUCCCUCCUGCCUCUGGACUUUGGCAUUACUCCUCAUCUAAGGAAAAUGUAACCAAAAAAAUGUAAGGACCAGUUCAUUCAGUUCCUGGAUUAUCUUUCCUGGGGGCUCAGUCUAAAAAUUUUCAGAGGUACAUUUAUCUUGGGUUUUAAUUGUGUGUUAAUAACAAUAGCUGUCACAUGUCAAGUAUAAACCACACCUCUGGACAUGCCAGUUAGUGGCAGAGUUGCCAUUAAUGUCCUCAACUCUACCUACUGUGGUUCUGACUCUUACCACAGCUCUGGGAGGGAAGUGGUGUAAGGCUCAUGUGACAAAUAAGAAAUGGCAGCCCAGAGAAAUUAGGUGGCCAUACCCACACGGGGAUUAGUUGUGGGCCAGGGAAUGGAAUCCAGAUUGUUUGACUAUGAAGCUCGUUCCAGGACAGUGGAAUGCCCUCCCUCGGUGGGAGCACACUCUACUCACUUGGCAGUGGGGUGAACUCCACGGCUGAUGUGCUGGUGACCUUGCUGGGGUCCAGCUCCACACGGUGGUAUUCGAAGAUGGUCCUUCGCCGAGAUUCUGAAACAGAGGCAGAGCCUGUCAUCAGGAGCAUCUCACAGCCAGAGGCCUCUGAGGCUUGUACCUGGAGCCUGACAGUCUUGGAAUCAAUGCCUCCUAUUAACCCAAGAUUGAACCCCAGUUGGUCUGGUGUUAAAAAGUUCCUGUGCUGCAUGAUGGAAGUGUCAGCCCCUGAAACAUUCUCAAACACAGAAUGUCCUGGAAACAUUCUAUGCAGUGAAUGAGUCCUGACUGUGGAAUUUGCUGAUUUCCAUGCUGUAAAUACUUCCUGCGCUGAUCUCAAGCUACCAAUUUGGAGUCACUGAACACAGCAUUGGGAAGAGACGUGGUCACUCUACUCUUGUGACUGCACAAGGGUCCCUGGCACACCGUAUUUCUUCCUGGUUUCCUUACAGUAGUACUCCAUAUCCGCGACUUCACUUUCCUGGUUUGUGACCCAUGGUCAACCACGCCACUCACCUCCCUCCAUCUCCUCAUGUAGGCAUUUUAUCAUCUCACAUCAGCACAAAAGAAGGAACUCUUCAUAUCCCUGCCGGAGUUAUUUGCUUUUGGAUUAUCUCGCCAACAUCUGGGGCUCACCCAAGGAUGAUGACGUCCAUCUGCAUGACCAACAGAUCCCUCCGGAACCAAGACAGAGGCCGCCCCAAAGCCACAUUUCUGGCAUCUUGAGACAUUCUGUUUUGCUCUCUGCCUCCAUUUGUCAAAGAUUCAAAAAUACUAAGGUCCAGACACAGAAAGCCCUGAUGCCCAAACAAGAAAUGUUAACAGCUCAAAAGAGAGGUUUGCAUGUCCCAUUUUGUUUCAAAACCAGACAUCAGUGGGGAAGAGUUGGAUUGGUCAGAAGAAAUCAAACUGACAAGCUCUACCACGAACUGCCCUCCAAAAUGGGUGGUUACGGUAUAAAAAAUAUAUAAGAUAGUAGUUUCAGGAUAAGUUUUCAAUUUUCUCGUUCAUGUCUUUCUUUGCUCAUUUGACUAUUCAUUCAAUAAUCAUAAGUUGAGCCCCAGCAGGGGACCUCAGAGGUGGACACAAUGAGGGUCCUGUACCCCAAGGGGCAGGCCACAGUCUGAAGCCCUGAGAAAUUAAAUACUCAUUAACUGGUUUCACUGAUUCAGAACCUCUGUCAGUUUUGACAUUGGCCACACUAAAAUUGCUUGUAUACUGUCCAUGAAAGAAGGAGGUUUUUAAAAGAUGAGAUUUGAUUUAUUUAUUAGAGAGAGAGAGAGAGAGAGAGAGAGAGAUAGCAAGAGAGAGCACAAGCAGAAGAGAAGGAGAAGCAGGCUCCCUACUAAGUAGGGAGCAACAUGGGGCUCCUUUCCAGGAGCCCAGGAUCAUGACUUGAGCCAAAGGCAAAUGCUUAAUCAACUGAGCCAUCCAGGUAUCCCAAGAAAGACUUCAUUUUUGUUUUUGUUUUUGUUUUAAGAUUUUAUU